rnacentral:rRNA from 1 species
GGGCCAAAGAGGGGGACCUUCGGGCCUCUCGCGUCAGGAUAUGCCUAGGUGGGAUUAGCUAGUUGGUGAGGUAAGGGCUCACCAAGGCGACGAUCCCUAGCUGGUCUGAGAGGAUGAUCAGCCACACUGGAACUGAGACACGGUCCAGACUCCUACGGGAGGCAGCAGUGGGGAAUAUUGCACAAUGGGCGCAAGCCUGAUGCAGCCAUGCCGCGUGUGUGAAGAAGGCCUUCGGGUUGUAAAGCACUUUCAGUCGUGAGGAAGGUAGUGUAGUUAAUAGCUGCAUUAUUUGACGUUAGCGACAGAAGAAGCACCGGCUAACUCCGUGCCAGCAGCCGCGGUAAUACGGAGGGUGCGAGCGUUAAUCGGAAUUACUGGGCGUAAAGCGCAUGCAGGUGGUUUGUUAAGUCAGAUGUGAAAGCCCGGGGCUCAACCUCGGAAUUGCAUUUGAAACUGGCAGACUAGAGUACUGUAGAGGGGGGUAGAAUUUCAGGUGUAGCGGUGAAAUGCGUAGAGAUCUGAAGGAAUACCGGUGGCGAAGGCGGCCCCCUGGACAGAUACUGACACUCAGAUGCGAAAGCGUGGGGAGCAAACAGGAUUAGAUACCCUGGUAGUCCACGCCGUAAACGAUGUCUACUUGGAGGUUGUGGCCUUGAGCCGUGGCUUUCGGAGCUAACGCGUUAAGUAGACCGCCUGGGGAGUACGGUCGCAAGAUUAAAACUCAAAUGAAUUGACGGGGGCCCGCACAAGCGGUGGAGCAUGUGGUUUAAUUCGAUGCAACGCGAAGAACCUUACCUACUCUUGACAUCCAGAGAACUUUCCAGAGAUGGAUUGGUGCCUUCGGGAACUCUGAGACAGGUGCUGCAUGGCUGUCGUCAGCUCGUGUUGUGAAAUGUUGGGUUAAGUCCCGCAACGAGCGCAACCCUUAUCCUUGUUUGCCAGCGAGUAAUGUCGGGAACUCCAGGGAGACUGCCGGUGAUAAACCGGAGGAAGGUGGGGACGACGUCAAGUCAUCAUGGCCCUUACGAGUAGGGCUACACACGUGCUACAAUGGCGCAUACAGAGGGCAGCCAACUUGCGAAAGUGAGCGAAUCCCAAAAAGUGCGUCGUAGUCCGGAUUGGAGUCUGCAACUCGACUCCAUGAAGUCGGAAUCGCUAGUAAUCGUGGAUCAGAAUGCCACGGUGAAUACGUUCCCGGGCCUUGUACACACCGCCCGUCACACCAUGGGAGUGGGCUGCAAAAGAAGUAGGUAGUUUAACCUUCGGGGGGACGCUUACCACUUUGUGGUUCAUGACUGGGGUGAAGUCGUAACAAGGUAGCGCUAGGGGAACCUGGCGCUGGAUCACCUCCUUAAACGAUGAU